AUGACAACAGAACCCACAACAACCAUGACUUUUAUCACCAUCUUCAUCUGGACACUUUCCCUCUGCUUUCAAGAAUCCAGUGGACAGUACACUGUGACUCAGACUCCUGCUGUGAAAGCUGUUCUCCCAGGACAGUCAGUCUCUCUGAACUGUAAAACCAGCAGUAAUGUGCAUGGCGCAGGAGGCACUUAUCCCCGCCUAGCCUGGUAUCAACAGAAACCUGGAGGAGCUCCUAAACUCCUUAUUUACUAUGCUAAAACACUUCAGUCUGGGACUCCAUCUAGAUUCAGUGGCAGUGGAACUCAUAGUGACUUCACUCUGACCAUCAGUGGAGUCCAGGCUGAAGAUGCAGGAGAUUACUACUGUCAGAGUUUACACUACCCCAAUAGUAAACAUGUGUUCACACAGUGAUACAGAGCCGUACAAAAACCUCCCUCCCUCAGUCAGACUGUACAGUGACUGUACUGAUACAGCUGUGUCCUACUGCAGGUCCUGAGGAGGAAGAGACAGAGACAUGGAACACUGACUGAACUAAAAUACACUGAGAUAAAUAUAUCAGUGAUGCUGACAAUAUGUCAACUCUUCCUCCCUCAUGCUAAAGCAUUCCUGAACUGAUAACACUCACAGGUCCAGACAACAUAAAUAUUACUUCCCUGCUUCUAUGGCCAACAAACUUUUUUGUAACGUCACACAAUAAAUUGAACGGACUCCAUC